CCGGCAACCGCAGGCUCCACGCUCCGGGAUCACCGCCGCCCGCCGGGAUGGGUGGGACAGGCCCGCCCCGGCGCCGCGGGAUCGGCCGGGAUCUCCUCCGGCUGCUCUUACUCUCUCAUGUUGUCACCAACUUGACAGCCCAGCAGGUGUGUCCAGGGAAGACAUGUUCCCCUCUCACGCAGGUGGCUUUCACCUCCAUUUCACACUGACCCGGUGAUCAGGUGUUUGACCCAGUAUAGAUCUGUUCUCCGCUGUGAGAUGAGGAGCUACAGAGCCUCUACAAUCACAUGUUGAAACAUCAUUUUGGUAAUUUCAAAGGACCCUCUGUAUUUUGUUCUAAGUACGCAGUUUACACAUCUACCAAAUAAUGUCACACCUUAGAGCUCUGCCUCAGGAGAUAUGGGACGGCUUCCAGAAGCAUUUCUUUUAGGACCUUUUCUCCCUUCUGUUUCCAGCUUUCACACCUAACAGGCUGUUCCACUCUUAAAAUGGCCCAGAGCUUUGUUCCUCUUCUGUUCAUGGCAAAAGAAGUGCACAACUACCUCUCCAACGUUCAGGAAGAGAAUGGAUGAAAAAAGCUUUUCCAGUUUUCAGGAGAUUUUUACACACUUUCAUCCACAGAACUCCAAGAACCAGUCACAGAAAAUAGCACUGCCGUUGACAAUUCACCAUGUUGUCAAUAGUUACUGUCAUUACCUAAUGAUCCAUUCAUAUGAUGUGAAUCCAUUCCACCCAGUCCACUCAUCGGCCCAUCUGACCCUGGUCCCAGGGGAAACUACAAAAGCAACAGACAUUAAAAACUGUACAAAUAUUUUUUAGACAACCUAAUAAAGAGAAAAUAUUCCUCAAGAGGAAAAAUAAAAACAGUAAAGGAAAAAUUCACAGUCCAGCUCUGAAUGAGAAGGGACUCUCAAGUUCCAUUCAGACCUUUAAGAGAAGGUCUUCCACGUGAAGACCAACAUCAUUGCUGUUGGUCACUUUAAUGAUUUUUGGAGACUGUCAUCUCUGUAGGCUGGUCUAUAACUUAGGAAUAAUUUAUUAUUUACUUAAACACUAUAUGUAUGACUUUCCAACCUGCUGGUGCUGACCCAGCCCUGCUCCCAUUGAAGUUACAGGGAACUUUAUUACUCUCUUAAAUUAUUAAUUUAAGUCAUUAAUUACUAGCUUUCAAACCCUGACUGCUCCACAUUACCUUUGCAACUGGAGCAGUUUCUGUCCAAUUUCAUAUAUUAAUCGUAAAUUUACCUCUUCACAAAAUUAAAGACAUUAACAUUAUGGCAAAAACAAUCUACAAUUUACUGCAUAAUGAUUUAUCAGUAUUUAUAAAUAAUUAUUCUUAAGUUCCACUGGUGAUUUUUUCCCAAAGGCCCACAACUGAAGGGCCACCCAUAAGAAUGGAAAACUUAGCAAUAAUGCUACCUGAUGGAAAUGCAAUAUUUGGAUACACAAAAGGCUGCAUAAUUCAAAGAAACA